CUGGCGGCGUGCUACACAUAGCAAGUCGAACGGAGUUAAGCGCUGAAUGAGGCUUCGGCGGAGUUCUUGCUUAACUAGUGGCGGACGGGUGAGUAACGCGUGAGUAACCUGCCCUCGAGUGGGGAAUAACGUUCUGAAAAGGACGCUAAUACCGCAUAAUAUAUGUUUGUCGCAUGGCAGAUAUAUCAAAGAUUUAUCGCUCGAGGAUGGACUCGCGUCCGAUUAGCUUGUUGGUGGGUAACGGCCCACCAAGGCGACGAUCGGUAGCCGGACUGAGAGGUUGAACGGCCACAUUGGGACUGAGACACGGCCCAGACUCCUACGGGAGGCAGCAGUGGGGGAUAUUGCGCAAUGGGGGGAAAAACCCCCUGACGCAGCAACGCCGCGUGGAGGAUGACGGUUUUCGGAUUGUAAACUCCUUUUAUAAGGGACGAACUAAGACGGUACCUUAUGAAUAAGCUCCGGCUAACUACGUGCCAGCAGCCGC
rnacentral:rRNA from 1 species